GCCUACCAUGGUGGUAACGGGUAACGGGGAAUUAGGGUUCGAUUCCGGAGAGGGAGCCCGAGAAACGGCUACCACAUCCAAGGAAGGCAGCAGGCGCGCAAAUUACCCAAUCCCGACACGGGGAGGUAGUGACAAUAAAUAACAAUACGGGGCUCUUUCGGGUCUCGUAAUUGGAAUGAGUACAAUUUAAAUCCCUUAACGAGGAACAAUUGGAGGGCAAGUCUGGUGCCAGCAGCCGCGGUAAUUCCAGCUCCAAUAGCGUAUAUUAAAGUUGUUGCAGUUAAAAAGCUCGUAGUUGAAUUUCGGGAUUGACACAUCGGUCGUGCCUUAAGGGGUAUGAACUGGUGUAGUCAAUUUCUCACCUUCUGGAGAACCGCGAUGCCCUUAAUUGGGUGUCGCGGGGAACCAGGACCUUUACUUUGAAAAAAUUAGAGUGUUUAAAGCAGGCAUUUUGCUUGAAUACAUUAGCAUGGAAUAAUAAAAUAGGACGGCAUGAUUCUAUUUUGUUGGUUUCUAGGAUCACCGUAAUGAUUAAUAGGGAUAGUUGGGGGCAUUAGUAUUCAAUUGUCAGAGGUGAAAUUCUUGGAUUUAUUGAAGACUAACUACUGCGAAAGCAUUUGCCAAGGUUGUUUUCAUUAAUCAAGAACGAAAGUUAGGGGAUCGAAGACGAUCAGAUACCGUCGUAGUCUUAACCAUAAACUAUGCCGACUAGGAAUCAGACGAUGUUAAUUUUUUAAUGACUCGUUUGGCACCUUACG
rnacentral:rRNA from 1 species